rnacentral:rRNA from 1 species
GGUGAACGCUGGCGGUAGGCCUGACACAUGCAAGUCGAACGGCAGCACAGUAAGAGCUUGCUCUUACGGGUGGCGAGUGGCGGACGGGUGAGGAAUACAUCGGAAUCUACUUUUUCGUGGGGGAUAACGUAGGGAAACUUACGCUAAUACCGCAUACGACCUACGGGUGAAAGCAGGGGAUCUUCGGACCUUGCGCGAUUGAAUGAGCCGAUGUCGGAUUAGCUAGUUGGCGGGGUAAAGGCCCACCAAGGCGACGAUCCGUAGCUGGUCUGAGAGGAUGAUCAGCCACACUGGAACUGAGACACGGUCCAGACUCCUACGGGAGGCAGCAGUGGGGAAUAUUGGACAAUGGGCGCAAGCCUGAUCCAGCCAUACCGCGUGGGUGAAGAAGGCCUUCGGGUUGUAAAGCCCUUUUGUUGGGAAAGAAAAGCAGCAGGUUAAUACCCCGCUGUUCUGACGGUACCCAAAGAAUAAGCACCGGCUAACUUCGUG